rnacentral:rRNA from 1 species
AGUGAACGCUGGCGGUAGGCCUACACAUGCAAGUCGAACGGCAGCACAGUAAGAGCUUGCUCUUACGGGUGGCGAGUGGCGGACGGGUGAGGAAUACAUCGGAAUCUACUUUUUCGUGGGGGAUAACGUAGGGAAACUUACGCUAAUACCGCAUACGACCUACGGGUGAAAGCAGGGGAUCUUCGGACCUUGCGCGAUUGAAUGAGCCGAUGUCGAAUUAGCUAGUUGGCGGGGUAAAGGCCCACCAAGGCGACGAUCCGUAGCUGGUCUGAGAGGAUGAUCAGCCACACUGGAACUGAGACACGGUCCAGACUCCUACGGGAGGCAGCAGUGGGGAAUAUUGGACAAUGGGCGCAAGCCUGAUCCAGCCAUACCGCGUGGGUGAAGAAGGCCUUCGGGUUGUAAAGCCCUUUUGUUGGGAAAGAAAAGCAGCAGGUUAAUACCCCGCUGUUCUGACGGUACCCAAAGAAUAAGCACCGGCUAACUUCGUG